CCUACGGGCGGCAGCAGUCGAGAAUCAUUCACAAUGGGGGAAACCCUGAUGGUGCGACGCCGCGUGGGGGAAUGAAGGUCUUCGGAUUGUAAACCCCUGUCAUGUGGGAGCAAAUUAAAAAGAUAGUACCACAAGAGGAAGAGACGGCCAACUCUGUGCCAGCAGCCGCGGUAAUACAGAGGUCUCAAGCGUUGUUCGGAAUCACUGGGCGUAAAGCGUGCGUAGGCUGUUUCGUAAGUCGUGUGUGAAAGGCGCGGGCCCAACCCGCGGACGGCACAUGAUACUGCGUGACUAGAGUAAUGGAGGGGGAACCGGAAUUCUCGGUGUAGCAGUGAAAUGCGUAGAUAUCGAGAGGAACACUCGUGGCGAAGGCGGGUUCCUGGACAUUAACUGACGCUGAGGCACGAAGGCCAGGGGAGCGAAAGGGAUUAGAUACCCCGGUAGUC
rnacentral:rRNA from 1 species